rnacentral:rRNA from 1 species
UACGUAGGAUGCGAGCGUUGUCCGGAAUUAUUGGGCGUAAAGAGCUCGUAGGCGGUGUGUCACGUCGUUCGUGAAAACCUGCAGCUUAACUGUGGGCGUGCGGUCGAUACGGGCAUCACUGGAGUUCGGCAGGGGAGACUGGAAUUCCUGGUGUAGCGGUGAAAUGCGCAGAUAUCAGGAGGAACACCGGUGGCGAAGGCGGGUCUCUGGGCCGAUACUGACGCUGAGGAGCGAAAGCGUGGGGAGCGAACAGG